GCUGGGUGCAGUGGUGCAUGCCUGUAAUCCCAGUGGCUCAGGAGGCUAAGGCAGGAGGAUCACAAGUUCAAAGCCAGCCUAGCAAGGCACUAAGCAACUCAGUGAGACCCUGUCUCUA
rnacentral:sRNA from 1 species